rnacentral:rRNA from 1 species
AGUGAACGCUGGCGGUAGGCCUAACACAUGCAAGUCGAACGGCAGCACAGUAAGAGCUUGCUCUUACGGGUGGCGAGUGGCGGACGAGUGAGGAAUACAUCGGAAUCUACUUUUUCGUGGGGGAUAACGUAGGGAAACUGACGCUAAUACCGCAUACGACCUACGGGUGAAAGCAGGGGAGCUUCGGACCUUGCGCGAUUGAAUGAGCCGAUGUCGGAUUAGCUAGUUGGCGGGGUAAAGGCCCACCAAGGCGACGAUCCGUAGCUGGUCUGAGAGGAUGAUCAGCCACACUGGAACUGAGACACGGUCCAGACUCCUACGGGAGGCAGCAGUGGGGAAUAUUGGACAAUGGGCGCAAGCCUGAUCCAGCCAUACCGCGUGGGUGAAGAAGGCCUUCGGGUUGUAAAGCCCUUUUGUUGGGAAAGAAAAGCAGCAGGUUAAUACCCCGCUGUUCUGACGGUACCCAAAGAAUAAGCACCGGCUAACUUCGUG